rnacentral:rRNA from 1 species
CCUACGGGGGGCUGCAGUGGGGAAUAUUGGACAAUGGGGGCAACCCUGAUCCAGCCAUGCCGCGUGUGUGAAGAAGGCCCUCGGGUUGUAAAGCACUUUCAGUGAGGAAGAACGCCUGGUGGUUAAUACCCAUCAGGAAAGACAUCACUCACAGAAGAAGCACCGGCUAACUCCGUGCCAGCAGCCGCGGUAAUACGGAGGGUGCGAGCGUUAAUCGGAAUUACUGGGCGUAAAGCGCGCGUAGGUGGCUUGAUAAGCCGGUUGUGAAAGCCCCGGGCUCAACCUGGGAACGGCAUCCGAAACUGUCAAGCUAGAGUGCAGGAGAGGAAGGUAGAAUUCCCGGUGUAGCGGUGAAAUGCGUAGAGAUCGGGAGGAAUACCAGUGGCGAAGGCGGCCUUCUGGACUGACACUGACACUGAGGUGCGAAAGCGUGGGUAGCAAACAGGAUUAGAUACCCCGGUAGUC